GCAUGGGCAAGACGGUUUCACGGCUGCACCUUUCGCCGCGUUUGAAGGUGUGCACGUUGCCGCGCGACGUUGCAGACGCGGACACAUUUGGGCCACUCUGUGCGAGCUUUCAAAAUCCGACGUCCCGGGCUUGGCACUUUUUAUCCACUUUUGUUUGACUCAGCAGACGGUGCAAUUCUGCAAUUGGCGCAGUCGUUUAUUAAAUAAGCGCGCGGCUGGCUCCAUUGCACCCUCCCGGCCACAAUGUUGCCCCGUGUUUCAUUAUUUUCUUCACCGCGCGAUGUGAAGUAAAUACAUAUUGUCCAGGGCAUUCGCAACUUCACCACGCCGGUCGGUGCGGGUUUGUGAAGGGGGCGGGGAGGACAUGGAUCUGUUCUGACUUCAAUUGCCACUGAUGCGAACCCGGCGCCUCCGAUUAGCACGGUUGGUUACGUACUGGUGCGAAAGAAGUUCAACAUACAUUUGUACAACAUACAGUACGUACAUGGCCGGGAGUCGAACUGCACCAGACCAGGCCCAUCGUCCAAUGUAUGCUUACCGAUGUUAUGGGUUCCCCGUUUUUUUUCUAUCCACCAUUCACAUUUGAACUCACAAAUUCAUUUAGAAUGGCAUUCAUUCGUUUUGAACGACCAACCCCAUUCUCAUGCACAGAGGCAGACAGACGUCAGGCUUUCCCCCGUUACAAAUGUUAUGAUUAUUAUUAUAAUCUCAGACACAUCCACAGGGUUGUUAUAUGGCAGAUCCGCCGAGCAAAUCUGGCUGCCACCUCUGAGGUCCGAGAACCAGCAGGCCACACCGUGAGACGAAGACCCUCGCGAUAACGAGAGGUGAACGACCUGUGACUGAGUGGCGCAUUGUUACUCAACCGACAACAACUAAGACAGGACUUCUCACGCCGGGGGAAGCACAGAUGAACAUCUCGACAAGAGGAGCGACUGGCCCUGGGAAGACAAGGAAUGGUGGGGCCACGCCGUGCCUGAACUGGUGAAGAGGAACAGCUGUUGGGGAAAACGCGGCUACGAACAACGCCACCGCCACCCCACAAAUGCAGCAACUGAGAAAGUCCGCAAUAAGCGCAGCGUUCCAUUUCUGCGAUGGCGCACAGACACCAGACUCGGGCGGCAGGCUCAAGCGAAACGCUGACCAAGCCAACCCCGGGGAGUGCACACGAAGGUCAGCAGGCAAAGGGAUAUAAUCGCUGUUUUGAUAACGUUCUAGCGAGAUAUAAACUCUCAGCGCACUCGAUGUGAAGGCAGGCCCAAACUUUGGACUUGAGGGCGACGUGCCCCAGAGUGGUCUACGGCUUUGCCGA